GCCGUCGUAGCUCAGUGGUAGAGCGCAUCCUUGGUAAGGCUGAGGUCGGGAGUUCAAUCCUCCCCGACGGCACCA
rnacentral:tRNA from 1 species